rnacentral:lncRNA from 1 species
GAUUGAAGCACCACCUUCCUUGAAAAGCUCUGUAGCUCCAUAGUGGCUGUCCUUCCAGAUUGAAAGAUGCUGCUAUUUAUCCAGUCUCUCUGAUUUCAAUGAGCCAAACAGAGCAUCACUUAACAAGGAGGAGCAAGAUGGGUAAGAUAACUGUGAUGGGCAGCAGGACCAAAGUGAAUAUCAACAUGGUUUGACUGUAAGACUCUUUGAUAUGGGCUAAUUGAUGAAGGGCUGUGAUAGAUGGGCAGUUUGCUAAGUUUCUACUUGAUUUGUAUAACACCAGUAAAAACUUCCUACAUCUGGUGAACAGAGGCCUGCCUUGAGUCAACAUAAAGAAGCUAAGGCUUCUCAUCCAAUUUCCAGGCCUGGGUCACUAAACAGACCCAUAGCCCCUGAAUAAAGGUCAGAUGAGGUAGAUUUUAGGAGGGAUUUUGCAAUAGUAUUACAGGUAUAAAUCUUCCUAGAAGAUUCCUAGGAAGCCUACUCCAAACAGCCUUGGGUCAUUUAUCAAGAAGUGAUGGUUAAUUUUAUGUCUCACCUUGACUGGGCAAAGGGAUGCCCAGAUAGCUGGUAAAAUAUUAUUUGUGGAUGUGUCUGUGACGGUGUUUCUAGAAGAGGUUAGCAUUUGAAUCAGUAGACUGAGCAAAGAAGAUCCACCCUCACCAACUUGGGUGGGCAUCAUCCAACCCAUUGAGGACCCAAAUAGAACAAAAAAGGUAGAGGAAGGGUAAAUUCUCCCUCUCUCUUCUUGAGCCUGGAAAUCCAUCUUUUACACUCAAACAUUGGAGCUCCUUGUUUUCAGGCCUUCAUACUCAGGCUGAAGGCCUCAUACUGGGAGUUAAACCAUCAGUUUCCCUAGUUCUCAGGCUCUAAGACUCAGAAGUAUACUACUGGCUUUCCUGGUUCUCCAGCUUGCAGAUGGCAGGUUGUAGCAAAUCUCAGCCCCUACACUCAUGUGAGCCAAUUCCCAUAAUAAAUCUCCUCCUAUAAACCUCUGUAUAUCCUACUGGUUCUGUUUCUCUGGAGAACCCUAUACACAGAGUAACUAUGUAGUGGAGAAAAGGGAGCCACAUGG